rnacentral:rRNA from 1 species
CGCUGGCGGCAUGCUUACACAUGCAAGUCGGACGGCAGCACAGAGAAGCUUGCUUCUUGGGUGGCGAGUGGCGAACGGGUGAGUAACAUAUCGGAACGUACCGAGCAGUGGGGGAUAACUAGUCGAAAGAUUAGCUAAUACCGCAUAUAUUCUGAGGAAGAAAGCAGGGGACCAUUUGGCCUUGCGCUGUUUGAGCGGCCGAUAUCUGAUUAGCUAGUUGGUGGGGUAAAGGCCUACCAAGGCGACGAUCAGUAGCGGGUCUGAGAGGAUGAUCCGCCACACUGGGACUGAGACACGGCCCAGACUCCUACGGGAGGUAGCAGUGGGGAAUUUUGGACAAUGGGCGCAAGCCUGAUCCAGCCAUGCCGCGUGUCUGAAGAAGGCCUUCGGGUUGUAAAGGACUUUUGUCAGGGAAGAAAAGGGCGGGGUUAAUACCCCUGUCUGAUGACGAUACCUGAAGAAUAAGCACCGGCUAACUACGUGCCAGCAGCCGCGGUAAUACGUAGGGUGCGAGCGUUAAUCGGAAUUACUGGGCGUAAAGCGGGCGCAGACGGUUACUUAAGCAGGAUGUGAAAUCCCCGGGCUCAACCUGGGAACUGCGUUCUGAACUGGGUGACUAGAGUGUGUCAGAGGGAGGUAGAAUUCCACGUGUAGCAGUGAAAUGCGUAGAGAUGUGGAGGAAUACCGAUGGCGAAGGCAGCCUCCUGGGAUAACACUGACGUUCAUGCCCGAAAGCGUGGGUAGCAAACAGGAUUAG